rnacentral:rRNA from 1 species
CAGUAGCCGCGGUAAUACAGAGGGUGCGAGCGUUAAUCGGAUUUACUGGGCGUAAAGCGUGCGUAGGCGGCUUUUUAAGUCGGAUGUGAAAUCCCUGAGCUUAACUUAGGAAUUGCAUUCGAUACUGGGAAGCUAGAGUAUGGGAGAGGAUGGUAGAACUCCAGGUGUAGCGGUGAAAUGCGUAGAGAUCUGGAGGAAUACCGAUGGCGAAGGCAGCCAUCUGGCCUAAUACUGACGCUGAGGUACGAAAGCAUGGGGAGCAAACAGGAUUAGAUACCCCUGUAGUCCCUGUCUCUUAUAU